rnacentral:rRNA from 1 species
ACUAGGAUUAGAUACCCUAUUAUUAAGAAAAAUUAUAUUGUUAGUAUAUAAAUUGUAUGAAAACAAAAAAUUAUGGCGGUAUUUUAAGCUUUUCAGAGGAAUUUGCUCUUUAAUGGAUAAAACACCUAAAUCUUACUAAAUUUAGUUAAACAGUUUGUAUACCACUAUUUAAGUAAUAAUUUGCUAUUAUUACUAAAAUUUAUAUUAAUUAAAAAAAGUUAAGUCAAGGUGCAGCAUAAAUUUUAGUAUGAAGUGAAUUACAUUUCUUUUAAGAAAAUUUUGUUGAAAAUAAAAUUUAGGAUUUGAAAGUAAAAUUUUAAUAGAAGGAAAAUUUGAAUUAAGCUCUAAAAUAUGUACACAUCGCC